rnacentral:rRNA from 1 species
AUAAAUCAUUAAAUCAAGAAGAUUUGGCGGUAUUUUAAAUAAUUAGAGGAACCUGUGUAUUAAUUGAUAAUCCACGAUAAGAUUUACUUAAUAAUUUAUGUAUUGCUGUUAUAAGAUUAUUAUAAAUUAAAUUUUUAUAUUUUUAAUAUAAUUUAAUUCAAGUCAAAAUAUAGUUUAAUUAAGAUAUGGGUUACAAUUUUUUUUUGAAAUAGGAUUUAAUAGUAA